AUGCGGCGGUGCCGGGGCGCAGGGCUGGCGGGGCUGGCCGCGGUGCUCCUGGUGGCUGCGGGCAGAGCCCAGGUGCAGCAGGAGCCGUCGGCAGAGACCACCGAGGGCACCAGCAUCAGCAUCAGCUGCUCACACCCCAACAUACAGACCGGAGACUUCAUCCACUGGUACCGUCAGCUCCCGGGCCGAAGCCCCGCAUUCCUCGUGAGCGGCACUAAAGGGUCCCAAGAGCUGCGGGACCCUGCGGGGCGGCUGUCGGUGGCGGCAGACCGCCGGUCCAGCGCCCUGUGGCUCGCCCGGCCCCGGCGCGGGGACGCGGCGGUGUAUUACUGCGCCCUGGGAGACACGGGGAGAGGAGCCGGGCUGCGGCCGGGCAGGAACCGCGGCGGGCGGGGCCGGGCGUGUGUCAUCCCCAGACAAGGAGUCGAUAGUGAUACCUCAAAGGAUGGGAAGUAG